AAACAUUCAGCUUUCCAAGAAGUCAAUUUAGAUCUAACUCUAUCCACAAUAUACUGGAAUUUUUCCUUGCCUUUUCACUUGUUGAA